rnacentral:rRNA from 1 species
GACGAACGCUGGCGGCGUGCUUAACACAUGCAAGUCGAACGGAAAGGCCCUGCUUUUGUGGGGUGCUCGAGUGGCGAACGGGUGAGUAACACGUGAGUAACCUGCCCUUGACUUUGGGAUAACUUCAGGAAACUGGGGCUAAUACCGGAUAGGAGCUCCUGCUGCAUGGUGGGGGUUGGAAAGUUUCGGCGGUUGGGGAUGGACUCGCGGCUUAUCAGCUUGUUGGUGGGGUAGUGGCUUACCAAGGCUUUGACGGGUAGCCGGCCUGAGAGGGUGACCGGCCACAUUGGGACUGAGAUACGGCCCAGACUCCUACGGGAGGCAGCAGUGGGGAAUAUUGCACAAUGGGCGGAAGCCUGAUGCAGCAACGCCGCGUGCGGGAUGACGGCCUUCGGGUUGUAAACUGCUUUCGCCUGUGACGAAGCGUGAGUGACGGUAAUGGGUAAAGAAGCACCGGCUAACUACGUGCCAGCAGCCGCGGUGAUACGUAGGGUGCGAGCGUUGUCCGGAUUUAUUGGGCGUAAAGGGCUCGUAGGUGGUUGAUCGCGUCGGAAGUGUAAUCUUGGGGCUUAACCCUGAGCGUGCUUUCGAUACGGGUUGACUUGAGGAAGGUAGGGGAGAAUGGAAUUCCUGGUGGAGCGGUGGAAUGCGCAGAUAUCAGGAGGAACACCAGUGGCGAAGGCGGUUCUCUGGGCCUUUCCUGACGCUGAGGAACGAAAGCGUGGGGAGCGAACAGGCUUAGAUACCCUGGUAGUCCACGCUGUAAACGGUGGGUACUAGGUGUGGGGUCCAUUCCACGGGUUCCGUGCCGUAGCUAACGCUUUAAGUACCCCGCCUGGGGAGUACGGCCGCAAGGCUAAAACUCAAAGGAAUUGACGGGGCCCCGCACAAGCGGCGGAGCAUGCGGAUUAAUUCGAUGCAACGCGUAGAACCUUACCUGGGUUUGACAUGGAUCGGGAGCGCUCAGAGAUGGGUGUGCCUCUUUUGGGGUCGGUUCACAGGUGGUGCAUGGCUGUCGUCAGCUCGUGUCGUGAGAUGUUGGGUUAAGUCCCGCAACGAGCGCAACCCUUGUUCACUGUUGCCAGCACGUUAUGGUGGGGACUCAGUGGAGACCGCCGGGGUCAACUCGGAGGAAGGUGGGGAUGACGUCAAGUCAUCAUGCCCCUUAUGUCCAGGGCUUCACGCAUGCUACAAUGGCUGGUACAGAGAGUGGCGAGCCUGUGAGGGUGAGCGAAUCUCGGAAAGCCGGUCUCAGUUCGGAUUGGGGUCUGCAACUCGACCUCAUGAAGUCGGAGUCGCUAGUAAUCGCAGAUCAGCAACGCUGCGGUGAAUACGUUCCCGGGGCU